AUGGAAUCAUGGAGAGCACUGUGAUAUUUCGCUCGCCUCAUGGAACAGGGGGACCAUACUAAAGCUGUAUGGUUCCAUGGAAGGUUCUUGUACAGAAAGAGCAGGAGCAGACUGCUUAUCAAAGAUGCCAUGCCAGGCUCAGGGAGAGCUGUUCCCAGCCCGAGAGCAGGAAGAGCAGCUCAGGCAGCAGGUGGAAGAGCCACAGCAGAAUGGCCAGAACAUCAAGGCAGAGCCACAAGCAGAGCUGCCCGAAGCUCAGAGUGCCAUCAUGGCAGUGAAGAGAAAGAACAAGGAAGACAUGAGAAGAAUUCAAGAGGAGAUGAAUCUCCAUCAGCACAGGGGCGAUCAACAAAACCAGGUGAGAGAAAGAAUGGCAGCCACUCCACUCAUGAAACUUCCUCUCCAUUGUUGUUUACAAACCAUCAAGGAAGAUGUGCAGGCAGAGCUGCAGGAAUCUGA